rnacentral:sRNA from 1 species
AUUGUUGGACCAGGCAUUUCUCCAAAGCUCAUGAGUUAGGGAAUGUCUCGGCAGACACCUGAGGGUGAGUUCCUUCCCCUUGACCAACUUGAACUGGAUGUAGGUUUUAGUACAGGGGCAGAUCAACUUUUUCUUGUGUCCCCCCUCACAAUUUGCCACGUGAUCGAUGCCAAAAGCCCCUUUUAUGACCUAUCCCAGCGAAGCAUGCAAACUGAACAGUUCGAGAUUGUCGUCAUCCUAGAAGGCAUUGUGGAAACAACUGGGAUGACUUGUCAAGCUCGAACAUCAUAUACUGAAGAUGAAGUUCUUUGGGGUCAUCGUUUUUUUCCUGUAAUUUCCUUAGAAGAGGGAUUCUUUAAAGUUGAUUACUCCCAGUUCCAUGCAACAUUUGAAGUCCCCACCCCACCUUACAGUGUGAAAGAGCAGGAGGAAAUGCUUCUCAUGUCGUCCCCUUUAAUAGCACCAGCCAUAACUAACAGCAAAGAAAGACAUAAUUCUGUGGAAUGCUUAGAUGGACUAGAUGAUAUUACUACAAAACUACCAUCUAAGCUGCAGAAAAUUACU